rnacentral:piRNA from 1 species
UAGAAUCCCUGAUGGACCG